rnacentral:rRNA from 1 species
GACGAACGCUGGCGGCGUGCUUAACACAUGCAAGUCGAACGGAAAGGCCCCUUUGGGGGUGCUCGAGUGGCGAACGGGUGAGUAACACGUGAGUAACCUGCCCUUGACUUCGGGAUAACUUCAGGAAACUGGGGCUAAUACCGGAUAGGAAUCCUUGCUGCAUGGUGGGGGUUGGAAAGCUUCGGCGGUUUUGGAUGGACGCGCGGCUUAUCAGCUUGUUGGUGGGGUAGUGGCUUACCAAGGCUUUGACGGGUAGCCGGCCUGAGAGGGCGACCGGCCACAUUGGGACUGAGAUACGGCCCAGACUCCUACGGGAGGCAGCAGUGGGGAAGAUUGCACAAUGGGCGGAAGCCUGAUGCAGCAACGCCGCGGGCGGGAUGACGGCCUUCGGGUUGGAAAACGCUUUCAGCAGGGGCGAAGCUUGUGGUGACGGUACCUGCAGAAGAAGCACCGGCUAACUACGUG